CCUACGGGAGGCAGCAGUGGGGAAUUUUGGACAAUGGGGGCAACCCUGAUCCAGCAAUGCCGCGUGAGUGAAGAAGGCCCUCGGGUUGUAAAGCUCUUUUGUCAGGGAAGAAAAGGUUGCGGCUAAUAUCCGCGACUCAUGACGGUACCUGAAGAAUAAGCACCGGCUAACUACGUGCCAGCAGCCGCGGUAAUACGUAGGGUGCAAGCGUUAAUCGGAAUUACUGGGCGUAAAGCGUGCGCAGGCGGUUUUGUAAGACUGUCGUGAAAUCCCCGGGCUUAACCUGGGAAUGGCGAUGGUGACUGCAAGGCUAGAGUUUGGCAGAGGGGGGUAGAAUUCCACGUGUAGCAGUGAAAUGCGUAGAUAUGUGGAGGAACACCGAUGGCGAAGGCAGCCCCCUGGGUCAAAACUGACGCUCAUGCACGAAAGCGUGGGGAGCAAACAGGAUUAGAUACCCUGGUAGUCCACGCCCUAAACGAUGUCUACUAGUUGUCGGGUCUUAAUUGACUUGGUAACGCAGCUAACGCGUGAAGUAGACCGCCUGGGGAGUACGGUCGCAAGAUUAAAACUCAAAUGAAUUGACCGGNUGAGAGNGCGAGACGACGACGAGGGAGGAGG
rnacentral:rRNA from 1 species